UUUUCUCUCCAGUUUUGUUUUCACUUUGAGUCUUGCCACCAACCUCACAUGGUUUCCUGGCUGGCAGAAUAAUCUCUAAGCUUAGCAAACAGAAGGCUUAGAGCAUGUCAAGUGAGCAGAAGAAGCUCUCAGCCCGGUCUGGAGGAGGCAAGGGGGUGGACUUUUUGUGCUGCUCGUGGUGCUGAGUUCUCCUGGUGUGUGUCCCCGAGAAGUGGAGGCUGUUGCCUGUAAGCUCCCACGGACCAAGCUGCUUUACUCACGGACGAGGCUCUGGAGCUGACCUCCUGCUGUUUCAUGGGCUAACGCUCCUGAGAAGAUGGGAGUAAGGUGAGGAUUGGGUCUUGGAGGCUGCUGUCAACUUGCUCCCCCAGAGAAGGCAGCAGUUGUGUGGAUUCCUUUUCAGUGGUGGUAAUUAUGCAAUCUGGAUAGAAAUCUUCAACCAAAGAGGCUGAGGUAAAGCAUCAAGAAGUGGAGAAAAAUCACUUUGCAUGUUCCAACAGACUAACAAAUUACCUAUGGAAAUACACUUGGGAAUAUUCCUCAGUAAUUGGAUCUCAGCUGUUGUUUCAUUGUGUGUGCCCCCAGGCUGUGGAGGUAAAAACUCCACUGAAAUGCUUUGAAAUAUUCUCUGGCACCUAUAAAAUGUGUUUACUAUUAAAAAGGGAAACCUGCAAGUCAGAACACUGCUAAGUGCAGUUUAAAAACAAAAUUGCCCUCCUGCAGCAUAGCUCAGGGUGUUGAAGCAUCUGGUUAAUCCAGACUGUCUCAAGCCAGACACAUUCCUGUGAUUUGAGAGGAGAAGUCCUGUCUGAUUUCUUCUGCCAGGGUAACAUGGGCACGUCUGUGUCGCAGAGCAGGAACCCUCAAACAGUAAAUGCUUUCUGGCCUGGAGUAGGCUAAGAAACAGAUGGGAAGGUUUGCAGGAUGAGUUCUUCUAGAUCUGGAACCUCUUGUUUUUUCUGUUUCCACAUCUGGACUCCAAGUUGCUCUUUACAGGCUUUUGCAGAGCAUGGAGAGCAGCAUCUCCAAGCAGUUGCAAUAUGUUUGUUGCAGGACAGUUGUGCUCUUGGAAAGAUGACACUGGAUGUUUGGCAUCUUUUUCUUCAAAUGUUAGUGACCUCUCCAGUUCUGACCUUGAUGAUGUUGCACAGCAUAUGGCAGCUACUGAGUUUGAUGUGGAAAAGGGGGAGCAUGUGAGGUGACAAUCUGAAUAGAAUUUGGAUGCUGAGAAAGUAUACCUGAGUUUUGGGAGCAGAAAGGGAGCAAAUCCUUUUUCCUUAUCACACCUCUGCCAAAGCUGAAGCUUUGUUUCAGGUUGUAUUAAAAAGAUAUGUUCCCAGUUGUCCAAAUCCUGAUUAUCCAUGGCUUCGUGCUGCUGUGGUAUGCUCAGACCAAGCAAUGCUCUCAGUCUGUUCUAUAGCAUAAUAAAGAA